GCAGCCGUGGUGACAGGAUACAUUCUUUGCCUCAUACGCGCUGCAGGGCCAUGAGUGCCAGAGACUUCGGGGGGAAGAAAGGCUACUUGAGUCGCAUCAAAGACAACCACCACCGAAGCGCAAUUGAAGCCUGCAACCGUAGCCAGCCUGAAAGCCGGCUUUGCGCAGGACGCUUUGUUCUCUGAUCGGCCCCUCCGCUUUGUGAGCUCCCUUCCAGCAUCAGCUGGGCGCGGUGUGUUGGGAGUUGUGGUGUCUUCUCAGAGGGAAUCCAGUAGCAGGUGACAUGAGCUCGGGGUGGAGAAGGGGGCUCUAUUCUUAGGCCCCCUACUCCAUAACAGACAGUCUGGCGUGGCUGCUUGGCCUGUCCCCUCAUGCAAGUAUGGGGUAAACCAUUGCCUUUCACCCGCAACACCCCCUGGUUUCACGAGGGAGAAGUGGCUGUUGACACCCGCUGGCCCUAUGUCACCUUUGGCAUUGCUGGGUGUCACUCAGCUGAGCUCAGGUCUUACACAACAGCAGGUUUGCUAGCACAGCUGCUGUCAGCUUAAUGCAGAGAUGUAACAGAGGCUUCAUCUAAGCUCCAGUAAAGAGCAUCCCUCUUCCCAUCUUCGUGGAAACUGAAUUGCAACCCCCUGCCAUUUGCCAGGGCUUUCAAGGAGAUUAAAGGAGGCAUGAGCCUGAGAACCAUCUUGCUGUAACUCCCUCAGCUCCAUGGGCUGGUUAUCAGGGACCACUUGUGUUUCAGCAAGCCUUCCCCCACUGUCCUAAAGCCCAUCAGCUCCCCUAACUCCAUCCCUUCUGCCUGGCCUGUGGAUGUUCUUGUAUGAAACCCAGCAUCCCAGACAUUCAUGUCUGUCCUUCAUGUCCAUGAUGUGGCUUCCAAGAUUGGCAUUCUACAGAACCAGCAAGGGCUAAAUACAGCCUGACAGCCAGACUCGCCCUGAAAUUCAGAGGGGUUUUGAAGCAUGUUGCUAAUGAGGAUGGGGGGUUCACAUACUACCUGCUCUUCCCGGCUGCCUGACAAGUGAAAUAAUAGCUCAACAUAUUGUGCUGGACCAAUGGCUUUCUUCCUGCAGCCCUGCUGAUGGAACUGGUGGCAUGUGAAGUAUUUGACAAGCGUGAUGCUGCAGCUUGGGUAUCUUUUGUGGCAUUUCUUGCUUGGUUUUCAGGAAGAAGAGAAGACUCUUGGUAGCCUCCCUAUAACUGGCACCCUGACUCCCUCAAAAUGCUUCACAGGACCCAGGGCAUAGAUUAUGGCAAUGCAGGGUGAAGCCUAUACAGCACUAGGAAAUGAGAACCUCUCAAGGGGGAAUUGGGGAACAUGUGGCAUCAUGACAUCCCUGGGGAGCUUUCCAGUAUCUUCUGGGGAAUCCCAGACAGAAGUCCCAACCUUGUGUAUGGUGAAUGUUGCUCUUGGUAUCUUACCGGGCUCACAUCACAGACUUGUCCCUUCCUCAGGCCCAUCUCAUGUCCAAGCUUCACCUGUCUUGCACAGAGUUAUUUCAGUUGUGGGGCUGUAGGUAAGAACAGCACAUCACCCACAUGUUCUCCUUAAUGAUGGGCUGUCCUUGGGGCCUCCCCAGCAAAACCUGCCUGAACCUUGGGGAGAAGUGUAUGCUGAGCCGGACACCCACCUGCAAUUUUGUAGCCUGACCUCUCUCUCGUUCUACUCCUAGUGAGACCCUUCUCCUGAAUGCUGGUGUUUGCUUAGUACUUACAAAGAGAGGUUAGUCAUCAAAGGCAAGAGGAACCUACAGGACCAUGCAGUGCUCUGGGAGAUGAAGCUGCUAAUUUAGGGCACUAUGUGUGAGUGUAGAAGCUUAACUUCAAAAACCUGUUUGUUGUAGCACCUGAGCCACAAUAUUUUUUCUUUCCAGAUAACCACCAGCAGAUUGGCUGAAGCCUUGUUUAUGGUGGGAGAGAGUGGUAUGCCUCACAGGAAGCAUGUGAAGCAUGGACAGUAGGACCAAACAAACCAUUAAGCUGUGAGCUCCUCAGGCCAGUGCCUGCUCAUCAUGGGCACUAACUUAAAUAUUUAAUAACAGUCAUUAAUAAUGUUGGCAUCUGCCCAAGGAAUCCUUGCCAUUUUGCCCAAUGCUACAGCAGCCUCUUUGUGAGUAAUCCAUGCAGGCAUUCUGGUGUGGACUUUAAUGUCUGUUACAUCACACAGGAAGGGCUUGGUAGACUUGGGGCCUUCCUUGUUACAAAAAGCUUGGACAGGAACCCGGCGGCAGUGAGGCAGGGAGGUUUGCUUGAAAGAGCCUGAAACAGUAGAUGAGAGAGACUCACCUGCCCCACUCAGCUCGAUGGGGUGCUACCCUCAGACCUGCUGCUCUGGAGGCCUCAUCAGCACUGCACAACAGAGGACACUGGGUAUGGCAGGAAGAGAGCAGUGCCCACUGACCUGAGCAGGAGACUCCAUCUGCUGGGGUUCCAGCAGAGGAUGUUUGGCCGGAUUAGCCUGGCAAAGCCUCCCCCCUUAAUUUAGGAGAGACAGCGGCACCUCAGAGAGAAGACACCUCACAGAUGAAAGACAGGACACAUCCCAGGGGAAGGACUGUCUCUCCUCAACCUUGCUGCUACUUCCCAGUGCCUGCACACAUGCCAGGAGCCCUGGAUCCCCCACUACAGGCAUCACGGCGCUGUGUUGGAUGCAGUACAUCUGAGCUGUGCAGAGAGAGGGCCCCACAGCCAGCAGAUUGACAAGAUAAGAAAUACAAGAGUCUCCUCACUGGUCAAGCCACAAGCUUGUCUUGGCUGAGAACCCUUUGCUGAUCUGAUCUGGGGCACGGAGGCCAACAGCGAGGGACAGAGAAUCAACUGCACAGCAUAGGAUUGGUAUUCACUCACUGGGGCAUGGGACCUCCCCAGCCCUUGACUGUUCACUGUUUAUCCAAAGCACCAUCUCCCCUGGCCCGCUGCUGUAUUAGAAGCCCAGGUGUCAGGGAAACAAUGUGGGCUAAUGGUGAGGAAGGCAGCGAGACGGUAAUCACCAUCCACCCUUGGCAGACCGUGAGGAAGGCAGCAGCUGUAAAGGGAGUACCCAGAGGGGUGGCUUUGACCCCCUCAUUGUGAUGCACUUACCUUCCCUGAUUACCGUUGUGCUGUGGGAGAGGUCAGUUCAUUACAACAGGGCUUUUGCAAUGAAAUGGGACCAAAGCUCUCCCUGCUCAUGCUGCAGGGGGAACCUGAGCUUGAGCAGUGAGUGGGAGAGGGGCCAGGACAGUAAUGCACAAUGAGGUGUGAGGGAGUCAUGUAUUUCCCAGAGCACCUAGCUUUGGGCUCUCUGGCUUCUUCCAAGACAGUGACUCCAGUGUGCCCUGCCAUGUGGAAAACCUGCCUGAGUUACCCCCUCAGACUGAUCAAGAGCCACAGAAUUCCCUCCACUUCCAAACCUAAAAAGAUGCCUUGUCUUGUCACUCUACUCUGUGCUCUUGCCUCCAUGUCUCAGGCCUGGGCUGGGUCCAAGACCACCCUGGAAACACAUUCUCUACCCCAGAGGGAACUGGAGAUGGACUGGUGGGAGAAGAGUCAGGGUACAGAUUUGAGUCUUGCGCAAGAAUUUGGGUCUCUUGCAGCAAUAGCAAGGCAGUGCCAUGGGAUGCAGCUUGGUUAAAGGUGCUUCUUUCCAGGAGAGACAGUGAAAAGCAAGGUCUGCAGCCACCUAUGGAGCAGGAUGAUCAGACAGGGGGUGGCUUGAUGCCUUGACCAGCAUUUCCUCUCAGAAAAGAGGCAGUGAUGUUCCUGGCUGUAUGCGAGUCUGUGCUAUGUGUAGAAUGACCCUGGCAAGGGUCUCUGUGGUUGCAGGUCUGCGGCCAUCUACCUUGCUUCUGCUUUAGAAAGCCUUGGGAUCCUUUGCGGUUUAAAGAGGCUACAGGAGUGCAAAUGCUGCUUUGGGAUCGUUCCCAUGUCGGGAGCCUUUUCCUUGUUCCAUUUCCAUCUCUUUGUCAUGCGGGUCUGUUGCAUGGGGGAUUCAGAGCCAUCUUACGUGGCUCUGAGGGAAGAGCUCUACAAACAUCCCACAAGUUGCAGCCGCCUUGGUGGAACAGCAGCAUCCCUCAGGGGUCAGCUGCCUGGGGAAUGAGUAGAGGCACAUGGUCACUCAUGGAAAUGACACGAUGAGUUUCCUCCAAGCCCCUCCUCAGCCAUCCUUUCUCCAAGGCCGCUGGCGUCAUCCCAGCUGGCCUGGUCUGUGAUUCUAGUCAAGGUCUGGAACAUCACAAAACAUGGAUGACGUUUUGCCCAAACUCAAGUCCCCUUUGUGCUGGCAGAUUCCUGGGCAUGUCAUAGAAGGGAUGCUAUCCCUACUCAGAGCAUCACACAAGCCUUUGGGUUACCUCUGUGUGUCAUGAGGUGUGCAGGUCCCCAUAGACAAAUGCCACCAGUAUCUUCUUCAAUGGCCUGGGCUGAAAGGCCCAGUGCCACCAGGGCUCCUGAUGCCCCAAGCAAGGCAGGCUACAUGCCUGCCUGUCUGCAGGGACAGUGGCAGAAGCCCAGGGAGCCCUCAGAGUUUCUAGGAAGUUUCCUGUCUGACGCUCUAGCAGAUGCCCUGGGUCUUCAACCGCUGCCAGUCCUGGGCUUCCGGUAGGGGCUCCAGCCCGGAGCCCCCCUCCGCUAUCAGCUCACCAGAUGCUUUUUUCAGGAUACUGUGGUAAAACUGUGCAGGGCAUGAGCUGCAAUUUGGGGUUUUCUCUGGUGUCAGCCUUGAAGACAAAUUGGAUGAGGAAAAAAAAAAUGAUGCCCCUGUCACUGGUCAUUAGUCACUCUUGUUUUUCUCCUGUGUGUGCCGAGAUGAAGCGGUGGGUCCCCCAAGCGACCCUGCAUGGGUGGGCAGUGGGGCUGGGGCACUGGGGGGACUUGGUCAACAGUUACCUGGGCCAGAGGGGAGCAGAAGUUUCCCAGUCUCCUGCAGUCUUCAGCUUCUUGAUUGUGUCGCCCCCCAGUGGUGCACUGCGCCUUCCGGCUGCUGCCUCGGGCUCCUUUCCCAGCCACAUGGGGAAGCCUGCAUGAGCCCAGGCUUUAGCACAGGAGGCCAUGGGAUGGGCUACAUCGUGACUCCAAGUUUAAUGGGUGAUGCACCCCGUGACCUCCUCUGGAGCCAUUCCCUUGGGCUUGCCAGGAUCUGGACAGGAAUUCAUGCCUCGCUCAGUGUUCAUGGCUCCUUUCUACCAAGGGUUCUGCUGUGAUUGAGUAGAUGCUGUUAAGCAAUAGCAUCAUGCAGGCCUGUUGCAUCUUCCAUGGGGAAGGACCUCAAAGUAUGUUGCAAGCUCAGAGGGUGGCAGUCAUGGGGCCCUGGCCUGCACAGCAGCCUCACUGGGAUGGAGCACAGCUACACAGUGGUGGGAGGCGAGAAGCGAGGCAGAACUCUGAACGCUUACAUUGUGGAGAGGCUGAUUAGGGUAGCAGACUGAAGUUGUCUUGCCCAGCACAUGCCCAGAAGGUGCUGUGGGGCUGGCCAUGCUGAACCAGCCUGGAGCACAAGAAAUGCGUGAUUUUUCAGGACCCCUUGCAAGCUCACAGCUCACCAGCUGCCUCUUUCUCCUCCCUCCACUUUGGAAUUGGGCCUGAGGUGACCAUCAAAGUCACUUCUCCCUCUGACCUGGGGAAGUAGCCUGGUGGCAAGAGGUGGGGACUUGCCCCAGAUGUCAGACACCCCUCACUGUCUAAACCUCAAAUGGGACCAAGAGUAAGAGGCAGAAGAGAGGGCCCAGACCUAGGAAAGGAGCUUAGUGCUGAGCUUUGGCUCCAGGUUUGGCUGACACUAGCAUGUGUUCCCUGGUUACUGCCUUGUUCUCCAGGAGGCUCCCCUCUCAGCCCCUCUGUUCCCUCUGCAAGAUGAGAGAGGAACCAGCUUGCUGAUGUGAGUGUUUGCCAUGAACAGAAUGGGGCCUCUUGAACAGUGCCCAUGCCUUGGCCUGAAUUGCUUGGCGUAGGCACUGGUCUCUGCUCAGGUACCGCCUUGCAGGUCACACAGGAUGCAUAGCAGGAAUGAGAGACCUCAGCCUUGUAGCCUCCCCAGGGAUCUGUGCAGCAAAUGCAGAUUUGUACUUUAGUCAGCAAGUGCAUCUCUCAAAAGCACUCGCUUGGAGGGGGAAGUGGUAGAUGGGAGGGGGUACUGACAGGACUUCCCAGAAUCCACGCUCCAUGCUACCUCUCCCAGCCGGGUGCCUUGAAUUGGGAGCAUAGCAGAUCUCACAGGCAGAACAGGCACAGCCUGAAUCAACCAGUAACUGGGAGACUACUGAGGAGCCUGCAAGGUGGGCUGCGAGAGCAACCUGAGCCAGUAGGUGGUGGUCUGAGCCAGCCACAGGGCACCACGGAGCUCUGCCAUCUUGCAGAGAUGGGGUUCUCAUAAUUUGUGGGCACAUCUCACAAGAACAGCCAUAAUCCUUCUGUUGUCCUGAUGAUGUUCCCACUGUAGGGGUUCAAGGAGUGCGCCCACCUAAGGAGCCCUGCUUUGCUGUUCCAGCUGGAAGAUUGUGUUCUUCCUUUCCAUCCAAAACUAUUGUCCUGCAUUCUUGCAUGUUGUGAAAUGGCUGCUGGGUUUCACCCAGAGAUGGGUGCAUCCAGAAGGGAAGUGAGUGACUCUGUGCCCACAAGGGAUGUUCUGGACACUGCCUGUGCACGUGUGAUGUCUGAUGGGACUUAAAGUGAGACCAUCCCAGCAACUGCAGCGGGACCUUCUUCAAGAGAUUCUGCUCCCCCAUCUGCUAGCAGGGAGCUGGCUAGUGCCAGCUGGGCGUGGGAGAGUCAUCAGCGCUGUUGAUUUGGCAACGGGAGCUUUUCUCUGUGUUACCACCUAGUCUGUGUUUGCUUGUAGAGCACUAGCACUUCUGGCCAACAGCUUCCUUAACUAGCAUUGCUAACAUUUGCCUCCAUGCUGCACCUGGCUCAGGUGACCCAAGAAAGGAUGCUUUUCCCAGGGUGUUUUCCAAAGUGGUGGCUUUGUGAGCCACUAGAUGGUGCUGUGCAACUGUUCUUCAUGAGUCCUAGCUCAGCUCGGUGGUUGCAGCUGCCUCAUCUCAAACUGCAGGUUGGGAGGUUGCCGGGAGGGGGGGGCUGCUGCCUGCCCCUUACAUACAGGCUAAGCCACCCUUCAUAGGAGAGCUUUAUGCCCCUUGUUCCUUUACCAGGGCUGGCUGCUUUAUAGCAAUAGAGGAAGUGAUCCUUGUAGCUACCUAGAUAUUAUAGGAAAUCAUGGUUAAAAAAAAAACAUUGUUAAGGUUGUAAAUUUUGGAUGCCUCAUGCACCAUACCUCCUGAUGUCAGGUACAUACGUGACAGCUUAGCCUUUCUGUAAAUUAGACCCUCGGGUGGCAAAACACCUAGAAAGCAAAGAACAUAAAAUUAGCAGCCACCUUUUGCAAAGCUUGGGUUCAGUGACUUGCCCAGCUCCACACAGGAAGUCUGUGGCAGAGACAGAGAGAGAAGCCAGUCCUCCCAGGCUGCUUUCACCAUAAGACUGUUUUUUUUCUUCCCACUGUCGUCCAUCUCAUUCAUUCACUCCCUAGUUUCUGCACCAGACAAGACAGGGGCCCUACAAGCAAAAUCCUCCUGUGCCACACCCAGCCUGGAUUCAUCCCCUAGCACGGCGGUCAUGUGCACUGAAUGAGGCAUAGGAAGAAAGUGUGCAUGCUCAUCUAAGUAAAGACUAUCACACCACGUUACCAUGGACAACUGUGGGUCUGGCAGUCACUCUGUUGCUUGCCUAGAUAAUGUUGUUUUGACACAAUGGGUGGAAGUGCCCACACACAACACCCAUGUGGCAUCAGAAAGGUUACGUGCUGCUCUGGCAUGGAUUUAAAAAUAAAAUCAGGGCUAAACUAC